rnacentral:rRNA from 1 species
AGUGAACGCUGGCGGCAGGCCUAACACAUGCAAGUCGAGCGGCAGCGCGUCCGACCACCCUCGGGUGGUCGGAUGGCGGCGAGCGGCGGACGGGUGAGGAAUGCAUCGGAAUCUGCCUCGUUGUGGGGGAUAACGUAGGGAAACUUACGCUAAUACCGCAUACGACCUACGGGUGAAAGUGGGGGACCUUCGGGCCUCACGCGAUGAGAUGAGCCGAUGCCGGAUUAGCUAGUUGGCGGGGUAAAGGCCCACCAAGGCGACGAUCCGUAGCUGGUCUGAGAGGAUGAUCAGCCACACUGGAGCUGAGACACGGUCCAGACUCCUACGGGAGGCAGCAGUGGGGAAUAUUGGACAAUGGGGGCAACCCUGAUCCAGCCAUGCCGCGUGUGUGAAGAAGGC